UACGGAGGGGGCGAGCGUUAUUCGGAAUUAUUGGGCGUAAAGGGCGCGUAGGCGGCCACCGCAAGUCGGUUGUGAAAUCUCCGGGCUUAACCCGGAAAGGUCAAUCGAUACUGCGGGGCUAGAGUGCAGAAGGGGCAACUGGAAUUCUCGGUGUAGCGGUGAAAUGCGUAGAUAUCGAGAGGAACACCUGCGGCGAAGGCGGGUUGCUGGGCUGACACUGACGCUGAAGCGCGAAAGCUAGGGGAGCGAACGGG
rnacentral:rRNA from 1 species